UACGAGGGGGGCAAGCGUUGUUCGGAUUUAUUGGGCGUAAAGAGCUCGUAGGCGGCUUGGCAAGUCGGGUGUGAAACCUCCAGGCUCAACCUGGAGACGCCACUCGAUACUGCCAUGGCUAGAGUCCGGUAGGGGACCACGGAAUUCCUGGUGUAGCGGUGAAAUGCGCAGAUAUCAGGAGGAACACCGGUGGCGAAGGCGGUGGUCUGGGCCGGCACUGACGCUGAGGAGCGAAAGCGUGGGUAGCAAACAGG
rnacentral:rRNA from 1 species